rnacentral:rRNA from 1 species
AUUGAACGCUGGCGGCAGGCCUAAUACAUGCAAGUCGAACGGUAACAUAAAAGAAGCUUGCUUCUUUGAUGACGAGUGGCGGACGGGUGAGUAAUAUUUGGGAAACUACCUGAUAGAGGGGGACAACAGUUGGAAACGACUGCUAAUACCGCAUAAGCGCACAGUACCGCAUGGUACAGUGUGAAAAACUCCGGUGGUGUGAGAUGGACCCGCGUCUGAUUAGCUAGUUGGUAGGGUAACGGCCUACCAAGGCGACGAUCAGUAGCCGGUCUGAGAGGAUGAACGGCCACAUUGGGACUGAGACACGGCCCAAAACUCCUACGGGAGGCAGCAGUGGGGAAUAUUGGGGCAAAUGGGGGAAACCCUGACCCAGCAACGCCGCGUGAAGGAAGAAGGCCUUCGGGUUGUAAACGUUACUUUUAGCAGGGACGAAGGACGUAGACGGUACCUGCAGAAAAAGACAACGG